UACGUAGGUGGCAAGCGUUGUCCGGAUUUACUGGGCGUAAAGAGCGCGCAGGCGGUCGUUUAAGUCGAAAUGUGAAAGCCCCCGGCUCAACUGGGGAGGGUCAUUCGAUACUGAUCGACUUGAAGGCAGGAGAGAGAAGUGGAAUUCCCGGUGUAGUGGUGAAAUGCGUAGAUAUCGGGAGGAACACCAGUGGCGAAGGCGACUUCUUGGCCUGUUCUUGACGCUGAGGCGCGGAAAGCUGGGGGAGCAAACGGG
rnacentral:rRNA from 1 species